GAUGAACGCUGGCGGCGUGCCUAAUACAUGCAAGUCGAGCGAACGGACGAGAAGCUUGCUUUUCUGAUGUUAGCGGCGGACGGGUGAGUAACACGUGGAUAACCUACCUAUAAGACUGGGAUAACUUCGGGAAACCGGAGCUAAUACCGGAUAAUAUUUUGAACCGCAUGGUUCAAAAGUGAAAGACGGUCUUGCUGUCACUUAUAGAUGGAUCCGCGCUGCAUUAGCUAGUUGGUAAGGUAACGGCUUACCAAGGCAACGAUGCAUAGCCGACCUGAGAGGGUGAUCGGCCACACUGGAACUGAGACACGGUCCAGACUCCUACGGGAGGCCGCAGUAGGGAAUCUUCCGCAAUGGGCGAAAGCCUGACGGAGCAACGCCGCGUGAGUGAUGAAGGUCUUCGGAUCGUAAAACUCUGUUAUUAGGGAAGAACAUAUGUGUAAGUAACUGUGCACAUCUUGACGGUACCUAAUCAGAAAGCCACGGCUAACUACGUGCCAGCAGCCGCGGUAAUACGUAGGUGGCAAGCGUUAUCCGGAAUUAUUGGGCGUAAAGCGCGCGUAGGCGGUUUUUUAAGUCUGAUGUGAAAGCCCACGGCUCAACCGUGGAGGGUCAUUGGAAACUGGAAAACUUGAGUGCAGAAGAGGAAAGUGGAAUUCCAUGUGUAGCGGUGAAAUGCGCAGAGAUAUGGAGGAACCCCAGUGGCGAAGGCGACUUUCUGGUCUGUAACUGACGCUGAUGUGCGAAAGCGUGGGGAUCAAACAGGAUUAGAUACCCUGGUAGUCCACGCCGUAAACGAUGAGUGCUAAGUGUUAGGGGGUUUCCGCCCCUUAGUGCUGCAGCUAACGCAUUAAGCACUCCGCCUGGGGAGUACGACCGCAAGGUUGAAACUCAAAGGAAUUGACGGGGACCCGCACAAGCGGUGGAGCAUGUGGUUUAAUUCGAAGCAACGCGAAGAACCUUACCAAAUCUUGACAUCCUUUGACAACUCUAGAGAUAGAGCCUUCCCCUUCGGGGGACAAAGUGACAGGUGGUGCAUGGUUGUCGUCAGCUCGUGUCGUGAGAUGUUGGGUUAAGUCCCGCAACGAGCGCAACCCUUAAGCUUAGUUGCCAUCAUUAAGUUGGGCACUCUAAGUUGACUGCCGGUGACAAACCGGAGGAAGGUGGGGAUGACGUCAAAUCAUCAUGCCCCUUAUGAUUUGGGCUACACACGUGCUACAAUGGACAAUACAAAGGGCAGCGAAACCGCGAGGUCAAGCAAAUCCCAUAAAGUUGUUCUCAGUUCGGAUUGUAGUCUGCAACUCGACUACAUGAAGCUGGAAUCGCUAGUAAUCGUAGAUCAGCAUGCUACGGUGAAUACGUUCCCGGGUCU
rnacentral:rRNA from 1 species